rnacentral:lncRNA from 1 species
AAUGGCUGUACAAAAAAACUUAUGGCAACAAAAAGAAUUUGCCUCCAUCACCACCAAAGCUGCCGAUACUCGGAAAUCUCCACCAACUCGGCUUAUUACCUCACCGCAAUCUCCAAUCCUUAGCGAAAAAAUACGGACCGAUCAUGCUUCUCCACUUCGGCAAUAAACCUACGCUUAUCGUCUCGUCGGCCGAUUCAGCCCGAGAGAUAAUGAAAACGCAUGACGUCAUCUUUUCCGAUCGGCUUGAAUCAAGUGUCGGUAAGCGGCUACUCUACAAUUGUAAAGACGUAUCCAUCGCUCCGUACGGCGAAUACUGGAGGCAGCUGAAGAGUAUAUGUGUUCUUCAACUGCUUAGUAACAAAAGGGUUCAAUCUUUUCAUUACAUCAGGGAGGAAGAAACAGCCCUUUUGAUGAAAAGGAUCAAAAGAGAAUAUCCCACCGGUUCGAUCGAUUUGAGUGAGAUGCUUACUCAGUUUACUAAUGACGUGGUUUGUAGGUCAGCUUUCGGGAAGAAGUAUAGUGCAGUGGAAAAUGGCAAGAAAUUUAUUUUACUGUUGAAGGAAUUGUUGGAGCUUUUGGGGACUAUUAGUAUCGGAGAUUUUGUUCCGAUGCUUUCGUGGAUUAAUCGAGUCAACGGUUUCGAUGCGAGGGUUGACAAGGUUGCGAGAGAAUUUGAUGAAUUCUUCGAGGGAGUGAUACGCGAGCGCAUGGAAAAUCCGAAGAAAUUACAUGGAGAUAAUUUUCUUGAUAUUUUGCUUCACAUUUAUCAGAAUAAUUCCACCGGAGUAACGAUUGACAGGGACAGUAUCAAAGCAAUAAUUCUUGUAAGUACAUUUGGUUUUCGGGUUUAUUGCAUUCAACACCCCUGUUUUUUUUUUCGUCUAAUUGCUAAAAAAAGCUUUCCGUACGUAAAUAUUUACAAAAUCCUCAUGAGAUGCAUCUUGUUUUGAAAACUUCACCCCUAAAAACUCACAAUUUAGGGGGUUGUGUGCUAAAAUAUAUACAUCAUAGGGGGAUUUUUGCUAAUAUUUAUAACAUGAAGAGUUUUUUUAGUAAUUUAAUAUAACUUUAGGGGUAUUAAAUGAAAUAAACUCUUAGUUUUUAUAGGAUAGUUAAUUACAUUUUUAGUCCUAUACUAGUACCUUAAUUGAUUUCAGUUCUCAAACAAAUUUGGCCGCAAUAUUAGUCUUUAAACUUGCCGUUUUUUUUUACAUUUUCCGUCAUGCCGUCAACUUCUUGAUUAAAAUGGACAGAAUCAUCACGUGAUGUCAGGAUAAUUACAAUAUUUGGUCCUUAUGCUAUAUCAAUUAUUCGAUUUUCGUCUCUAUACAAUUGAGAUCACGAUUUUAGUAUUUACUGUCGACAUGUCCUUUACAGUUUUCGUCGGCUGUCUUUUUGUGGAGUUAAAUUCGACAGCAAAUAUUGCGUGUUUUGCGCGUGUCACCCAUUCCAACACCCAUCUUACAUAUAUUCUUGAUUUCGCCCCAAUAUAUUCCUAUUUUUUUUGAAAUUGAAAGUGUGCACCUCACGUGACAAUUUCGUCCAUUGUAACCAAGAACGUUGACGACGGCUUGACAAAAGUGUAAAAAAAUGGCAUUUUUAUCAUGGUCAAAAAUUGUUCGAGAACUGAAAUCGUUUUAGGUGCUAAGUAUAGUAACUGAAAAUAUAAUUUAUCCUUCUAAUCACAUAAUUACAAUAUACAUUUUUUUCUUGUCACAUGUAUUCUUCGACAGGAUGUAUUUGCAGCUGGAACCGACACCACGUCGACACUUCUAGAAUGGGAAAUGACGGAACUCUUACGAAACCCUACGAUCAUGAAAAAAUUGCAACACCAAGUACGAGAAGUAGUUAAAGACAAAAACGGCAUAAUAACGGAGAACGACCUGGAAAAGAUGCCUUAUCUCAAAGCUGUAAUAAAAGAAACUCUCCGCCUCCACGCACCGAUCCCAUUGCUACCUCGGGUAGCAAGAAAAUACGUAAAAGUUAUGGGGUACGAUAUUUCAGCCGGAACAUUGGUGAUGACUAAUGUUUGGGCCAUCGGCAGGGACCCUGCCAGCUGGCAUGAGCCGGAAAAGUUUGAUCCCGACAGGUUUUUUGAUUCCAGGGUGGAUUACCAGGGCCUGGAUUUUGAGCUUAUCCCGUUUGGCGCCGGAAGAAGGGGUUGUCCUGGAAUUUCGUUCGCUACGGCUACUAAUGGUUUCUUGUUGGCGAAUCUUGUGCGGGAAUUCGAUUGGGCGUUGCCUGAUGACGUGGAGGAUUUGGAUAUGAGUGAACGCCCUGGUGUUGCUAUUCACAGGGCUGUUCCUCUUGUUGCAGUUGCCAAACAGUACUACUAUGUUUAAUUGAGGAAAUCAUUUAUCUCAAAUUUACUUGCUUAUUACUUGUUUUAUUAUGAGUAAAAUGCAGAAAAAAAAUGUGGAAUUCGUAAAGGUCAAAAAACCCCUUGGAAAAGAAUUAAGUAGCAAAAACAACUUUGUAAUCGGUGGUCAAAGGCAAACAACCCCUUCGCGCUCGUCCGUGUCAUUCACUCGCUGUUUGUGCGACUGCUCGUCGGAAGUGAUGCUACGGUGGCGCCAGCGAUCGAGGAAAAGUGAAUGCGUGGCGGGAACGAUUGAGAAUAGAGGGAAAACAAGAUGGGGCGGGGGUGGUGGAGUUUGCUGCCUCAAAAUGCACAUCUAAAAAAUGGUGUGUGACAUGGCGGUGGCUAUGGAGGAGGGCUACGGAAAUGAGUAAUAUGCAAAAAAUACCAAUUUGUAAUUUCCAAAUAGCAAAAAAAAAAAACCUGUGAUAAAUAAAGUAGCAAAAAUCCUCCUAGAAAUUUAGUAAAAGACAGAAACUUCCUGGUUGACUUUCGUGUGGCUCACUUGCUGGAUGUGCGGCUGGUAGCUGAUUUUUGGACGUGAAAUGACGAAAUUGUCCCUCAAAAUGUAUUUAUAUGUAUAUAUUUUUUUCUUUUUAAUUUGAUUGUUUAGAAAUAAAAAUCUUAUUAAAGAAAUUGUGAACAAUUAAAUUGAAAAAAUAUUAAAAAUUUGGUAAUAAAAUGAAUUAUAGGUUAUUUUAAAUACAUAAUAAUGGAUAUUAAGUUUUGUUUUAAUGUAGGGAUAAUUUAAAAUAUAUACAGACAUUUUCAGGUAAUAAAAAUAGAAAUAAAUUAAAGACCCUAUUGUACCUUUAUAAUUAAGAUAUAACAAAAAUAAAAUAAUUAAAAUAUUUGUAAAAUAUAAGAAUUUAUUAAUUUUUAAAACUCUGGGGUAUUUGUGUCUUUUUAUAUCAAUUCAACACUCAAAUGAAUAAUUGACCGAAUGUGCUAUAUAAAAAAAUUCACGGGGUUUUUUUGCUAGUUUAUUUAUCACAGAUUUUUUUGCGGUACUUUUGCGGUUUACUCCUAAGGAAAUGGUGGCUAGUUGCAGAUUUAAGAAUAUUAUUACUUUGUGUUUUUGGGUUUCAAUGUGAGAGAGGGCUUUAAUAAAAAUAUCAGGGACUGAAUUGAAAAUUUUAAAAACUUCAUUUUGGGACAAACAAAAAUUCUGGGGUGAAUCUAUAAUUUUCAAAAUUUCUGAUCCAAAGGGUAUUGAUCCAUUGGAUAUUUUCGAUUAAAAUUUUAUUUCUUUGGAGGGUUUUUUCUGUCUGCACUACACCUUUCUUCUGUCUGGCUAUUUUUUCCUAUAUUUUAUUCUAUUUCACCACUUAAAUCAAGAAAUGUAUUUUCUAUAAUAUGCGACAAAAAAAAAAAAAAAAAUCAAAGAUAUUUGAUAUGAUGAUACCAUCAAAAUAUGUGCACAAAUUUCUUUAUUAUCUUAGUUGGAUCCAUUCGAUACGUUAACAUCAUACAACGACGUGCACCACAUUUAAUUAACUCAUUUUGUCAAUAUAUUCAUCAAUAUCCAUUCACGAGAAUAGAAUAAUAUUAUAUAUUUAUUAGGACAGACCAAAUCAUCUUUUGCAACUUUAGAUACGACAACAGCUGGACAAGGGACUUCAGAAUAAAUGAUUUUUUUUUUUUUUUUUAAUCUGCACUUCGGAAUAAUUUAAUUUACCCAUAAACAAAAACUUAAUUCACCCAUAAUUCCAUCGGAUGACCGCAUGAAUUUCGACCAUAGAUUUACACAUAAUCAUAUGCAUAUGUAUAUGCGUGCUUAAUAAGUGAUUAUUUAAUUAAAUUUACGAUUAAAAACCACCACAGCGUAAAUAAUCAGGUGUAACAUCUAAUUCCCCUUUCGCCGAGUCCCACACACGUAUAUAUAUAUAUUAAUAAUAAUAAUAAGUUUGCCAGAAAAUUUCCUUUCUAACAAGUGGAACAACUUUUGAAAUUCUGGGCAAUUUUGCACCAAGUCAGCUCUUUGUAUGAGCAAACAAACACACACCACACACUUGACACCCACAUGCACAAACACUUUGAGAUAAGCUCGUACGCACAAAACAUAACAUAUGAGAAAAAUAUAAGUUCUUGUCCCUCAAGUUUACACAUAAUUCAUAUUUGGUUCUUGUGUUCACAAAUAACACAUUUGGUCCCUCUUGUUUAAAAAAUUCAACAUUUUAAGUUAUUCCUCUCAAUUUUCCGUUAAAACUAUGAAAUCAAGCGUGUGUCCAUCAAUGAAUUAACUGACAUACUAACGGUAAAUUGACGGAGAUUACCAACAGCGUUAAAUUAUUAAAACAUAGAUGACCAAAUGUAUUUUUUAUGAACAUAGGAGAUCAAAUGUGCAAUAAGUGCAAACUUGAGGGAUAAAAACUGUAAUAUUUGCCAUAAGAUAUACAUAACUAAAUCAUGUCCAUAUUCCAUCUUCACAUACAGCAAAAAAUUCAAGAAAUAAUGCAAUUCCAUCCCUUCACAUUAAUAAUCCAAGCUCUCCUAUCUUUAUUCUUGAUCUCUUACAUCACAAAAUGGCUGUACAAAAAAACUUAUGGCAACAAAAAGCAUUUGCCUCCGUCACCGCCGAAGCUACCGAUACUCGGAAAUCUCCACCAGCUCGGCUUAUUACCUCACCGCAAUCUCCAAUCCUUAGCGAAAAAAUACGGACCGAUCAUGCUUCUCCACUUCGGCAAUAAACCUACGCUUAUCGUCUCGUCGGCCGAUUCAGCCCGAGAGAUAAUGAAAACGCAUGACGUCAUCUUUUCCGAUCGGCUUGAAUCGAGUGUGAAUAAACGGUU